rnacentral:rRNA from 1 species
UACAGAGGGGGCAAGCGUUGUUCGGAAUUACUGGGCGUAAAGGGCGCGUAGGCGGCCUUCUAAGUCGAACGUGAAAUCCCCGGGCUCAACCCGGGAACUGCGUCCGAUACUGGGAGGUUUGAAUCCGGGAGAGGGAUGUGGAAUUCCAGGUGUAGCGGUGAAAUGCGUAGAUAUCUGGAGGAACACCGGUGGCGAAGGCGGCAUCCUGGACCGGUAUUGACGCUGAGGCGCGAAAGCUAGGGGAGCAAACGGG